CACUGCGGCGUCAUGCUCGUCAGUGCCAGCGAGCUCCGCCUCGCGCUCCAAGCGGGAUUCGAACCCACCAGGUUUAUAUUUAACGGAAAUGGGAAGACAUCGGAAGAUCUCAAGUUAGCUGCUGAGAGCGUGGAGUUUGUAAAUGUGGAUACCUAAUUUGAUUUGGAGAAUAUUGUGAGAACUGCAAUGGCUACAGGAUAGAAAGUCCCUGUUUUGCUGGCAAUAAAUUCAGAUGUCGAUCCGCAGCAAAUCCUCAGAUUAGCAAUCUUCAGACUAUGGAAAUGGAAAGGAUAGCUACAUUCUUGGCAACAAUUAUUUGACGGCAGUUCGAGGCAAAAAAAGAGGCCCGGUUAUCAAAUUCGUCAGUAAAACCUUCGUAGUGCAAAUGUUAAACUGCCUUUACCUCCGUCGCGCGUCAGCGGAUAGGACUUAUACCGUGAAAUCAAGCCGGGUGGUCGAUUCCGACAAGCCUUUAGGUACUCAAUUGUGCCGUCAACGAAACUGACCAGUUACGUCUCCCAUACCCGUGCCCGCUGUUUACCUGAUCCUGCCCACAGAGAGACUUGCUUCUUCGUUACCAGGGAAUUGUAGCUAUAUAUACAUUACACUUUGUGCUAUCCUUCGGCUGCACUGCAUAUCCAGCAGAUAUGUAGUCUCAGAGUUGUAAUCCAGUAGAUACAAAUGCAUCGUCGUCCACACAGGGUGGCACACCAUGCCGGCGUAAGCUGCGUCUCCCAACUUCGUUUGCGCUGUUCCGUAGACUGGCAUUUGUCCCAUAUGAUCACCUCGAAAUUAUGCUUCUGUUUCCUGUAAUGCAAUAGGAUUGGCUGCCCCCUCCAGUUCAAUGACCUUUGAUCCUAACGAAAAUAGGCAGAAGCACACAAAGUACCUUCUGCAGAAAAAAAAAAGGAGGCCCCCAUUUCAACGUGCGUGUUCAUACUGGUAUGUAUUUAGUAACAGCUAUUCUUCAGAAUCAU